AAUGCGGUUAAAUCUAUAAUUUUUUUGAUUCUAUAAAGUUUGACAAGUACAGAUGCAAAAAAAUUUCCUAUAAUCCUACCACAGAAGAGAAGCCGCUUACAUGUUACUCUUUGUUUUUAAGCUGCAUUUCUUUGCUACCAACCUGAAAGUAAACAAAACUUAAAUGUCUGUAUCAACUCCUGACUUAAUUUCCUCAGAUAAGCAAAUAAUAAUCUGAAAAAUGAAUAUCUUUAAGGGAAUGAUCAUUGUGUAAUUAAUAUGAUUAGGAAUUAAAAAAAAAAACAAAAACGUGUUUUUGAGAUGGCACUCUCUGUGUACCUUAGGCUGGCCCUGGAAUUGAGAUCCUUCUCCCUCAAGUGCUGGUUUACAGACGUGCUCCACCUUGUCUAACUCCGGGACUUGUGUGUUUUAUUUAUUAUUAUUAUUAUUCACGAGAUGGUCUCAGGCUGGCUUCAAACUCCUGGGCUGAGUGGGUCCUCCUGCCUCAGCCUCCCAAGAAGCUGGGACUACAGGUGCACACCACCAUGCCUGACUUUGCAGAACUUUCGCCUUUGCAAAGGACUUGUAAUUCAAGAAGGUUUACGACAUCAGUGCUGAAGAAACAUAUCGCCACAGACAAUUUGAAGGACUUUUGACUGUAAGUAAAAUUACAGGUGUUUUUAUUUAAUGUAAUGGGCACAUACAACACAAAAGACGUGAUGUAUUUCUAUCUUUCUGCCUUAAUAGGGGGUAAGAAAGCAUUGAAUCUUCUGUCCUAACUUGAUUUUCAUCCAUCAUCAAAAGAAAUAUUAAUUUAGAGAAAGAUGCAUAUACUUUGCAUUCAUCCACUAAAUACAUAUGUGUUCAUACAUUUUUAUGACCUUUUAGAAUCAAAUACUUAGAAAAGAAAGGGAAACAGUACAAAUUCCAAGAGAGGAAGAAUGCAAACAAUCCUUGAAAUGACAGAUUUUAAUAUUAAUAUACUAAGUUAGAUGAACUUGAAAGCUAAAGAAAGAGAAGGUAAAUAGAAAAAUCUGAUUUUCAGUUUUCUUAGGUAAAGGAUAUACUAUUAUACCCACUCAUCAGUUUUAAGUGAGUGUACAUGUGGCUAUUUUACAGAUACUAAAAUUUAAUCAAUUUCAUUUGUAGUUUAUAUAAAGAUUUCUGUUGUAUAAGUAUUUUUAUUAUUAGAUGUAAUGACUUACCAAAAUCUCUAUUGUCAGGUUUUUUUUUUUGUGGUAUUUUUGCCUGUAUUAUUUUAUUAUUUUACUAGCUUCC
rnacentral:lncRNA from 1 species